GGUGAACGCUGGCGGCGUGCUUAAGACAUGCAAGUCGAACGAGCGUCUUCGGACGGAUUUGGCGUACGGGUGGGGAACGAGCAAGUGAGCUGGCCCCAAGUCCCGAAUAACCCCUCGUAAGGAAGGCGAAUACGGGACGCGCAGUCCUCGCAUGAGAGGCGAGUAAAGCCGUGCCCGCUAGUGGAUGGGGUUGCGUUCCAUCAGCUAGAUGGUGGUGUAAAGGCCUACCAUUGCAAAGACGGAUAACCGGCCUGAGAGGGUGUCCGGUCACAGGGGCACUGACUCACGCGUCCCGCUCCUACGGGAGGCAGCAGUUAGGAAUCUUCUCCAAUUGACGACAGUCUCAGGGAGCGACGCCGCGUGAGCUAUGAAGGUUUUCGGAUCGUAAACCGCUGAAUCAGGUACGAAUGACGCUGAAGCGGGAUGACGGGACCUGAGUAAUAGCACCGGCUAACUCCGUG
rnacentral:rRNA from 1 species